UACGGAGGGUGCAAGCGUUAUCCGGAUUCACUGGGUUUAAAGGGUGCGUAGGAGGGCAGGGAAGUCAGUGGUGAAAUCUCCGAGCUUAACUCGGAAACUGCCGUUGAUACUCUCUGUCUUGAAUACCGUGGAGGUGAGCGGAAUAUGUCAUGUAGCGGUGAAAUGCUUAGAUAUGACAUAGAACACCAAUUGCGAAGGCAGCUCGCUACACGAAUAUUGACUCUGAGGCACGAAAGCGUGGGGAGCAAACAGG
rnacentral:rRNA from 1 species